rnacentral:rRNA from 1 species
GAUGAACGCUGGCGGCGUGCCUAAUACAUGCAAGUCGAACGAAACUUCUUUAUCACCGAGUGCUUGCACUCACCGAUAAAGAGUUGAGUGGCGAACGGGUGAGUAACACGUGGGCAACCUGCCCAAAAGAGGGGGAUAACACUUGGAAACAGGUGCUAAUACCGCAUAACCAUAGUUACCGCAUGGUAACUAUGUAAAAGGUGGCUAUACUACCGCUUUUGGAUGGGCCCGCGGCGCAUUAGCUAGUUGGUAGGGUAAAGGCUUACCAAGGCAAUGAUGCGUAGCCGAAUUGAGAGGUUGAUCGGCCACAUUGGGACUGAGACACGGCCCAAACUCCUACGGGAGGCAGCAGUAGGGAAUCCUCCACAAUGGGCGAAAGCCUGAUGGAGCAACGCCGCGUGGGUGAAGAAGGUCUUCGGAUCGUAAAACCCUGUUGUUAGAGAAGAAAGUGCGUGAGAGUAACUGUUCACGUUUCGACGGUAUCUAACCAGAAAGCCACUGCUAACUACGUG